AAAGGAAUGCCCGUGAACUACAGCAAUCUUAGAUGCCCAGGUUACAUUAUCCGAACAGCCCUGAGGCUGAACUGAAGGAAGUCCUCCAGCCUUCGCAGGGGAAAUCUGACACAGCUAGAAAGCAAUGGAAAACACUAAGCGUUGCAUCAGAUGUUGAAGAGGAACUGAUCAUACCAUGGAGAUAAAAAUGAUCUCUUUAAGGAGGAUUUCAAAAAUCUGGCUAUUUCAAGGCUUUGUGCACUGAUGGGAAUGAGGCAGCCGGCAGCCAAGCCACAUAACGGGACCCUGGAGAAAGACGUCUUGGGCAAUUUGCACAAGAGUUUCCUUCUUUAAAUAACCACACAGUAAGUCAAUAUCCCUGAGGGCAUUUGUUUAUUGGCUGCCUUAUUACCUUUUUUUUUUUUAACACAAAUCUCUUAAAGACACUUCUGUUGGUUUUAUAUACACUUGCUCAGGCUUGUCUUACUUUAGUAAUACUG